rnacentral:rRNA from 1 species
ACGCUCGACACCUACGGGAGGCAGCAGUUGGGAAUAUUGGACAAUGGAGGAAACUCUGAUCCAGUGACGCCGCGUGAAGGAAGAAGGUCUUCGGAUUGUAAACUUAUUUUGUCAGGGAAGAAAAAAUGACUGUACCUGAAGAAAAAGCACCGGCUAACUACGUGCCGGCAGCCGCGGUAAUCUGAGCGGGCUGGCAAGGC